UCAAAAAGUCUGGCUCAAAUAUUAACACAGUCCUGAUGUUAAGAGCCAUGAGGAAGUCACACUUGAGGAUUUUCCUCAGUUCACACAUGGUUAUUGUAGCUAAUCAAGUAUCCUCCCUUGUAAAACAAAACUAUGAACCUUCAUCUGUGAACAAAACUGUUCCCAGAAAAUCAGCAUCUUCGGCAGUCUUUCAAUGUAUUGGAAAUGAAGAACAAUUCAGCCAGCAUGGAUUGGUUUAAGUCAAACUUCUAAGGUGCAAAGUUCAAAAUCUAUGCCCUGGAGAGGAUACAUGAUGAAGACAAAAAGUGCUUCUCUUGUGUCUUUUUAUCACCCUCUGAAAUUUGGCAAUAGAGUUUUUGAUCA
rnacentral:lncRNA from 1 species